GACGAACGCUGGCGGCGUGCUUAACACAUGCAAGUCGAACGGAAAGGCCCUGCUUUUGUGGGGUGCUCGAGUGGCGAACGGGUGAGUAACACGUGAGUAACCUGCCCUUGACUUUGGGAUAACUUCAGGAAACUGGGGCUAAUACCGGAUAGGAGCUCCUGCUGCAUGGUGGGGGUUGGAAAGUUUCGGCGGUUGGGGAUGGACUCGCGGCUUAUCAGCUUGUUGGUGGGGUAGUGGCUUACCAAGGCUUUGACGGGUAGCCGGCCUGAGAGGGUGACCGGCCACAUUGGGACUGAGAUACGGCCCAGACUCCUACGGGAGGCAGCAGUGGGGAAUAUUGCACAAUGGGCGGAAGCCUGAUGCAGCAACGCCGCGUGCGGGAUGACGGCCUUCGGGUUGUAAACCGCUUUCGCCUGUGACGAAGCGUGAGUGACGGUAAUGGGUAAAGAAGCACCGGCUAACUACGUGCCAGCAGCCGCGGUGAUACGUAGGGUGCGAGCGUUGUCCGGAUUUAUUGGGCGUAAAGGGCUCGUAGGUGGUUGAUCGCGUCGGAAGUGUAAUCUUGGGGCUUAACCCUGAGCGUGCUUUCGAUACGGGUUGACUUGAGGAAGGUAGGGGAGAAUGGAAUUCCUGGUGGAGCGGUGGAAUGCGCAGAUAUCAGGAGGAACACCAGUGGCGAAGGCGGUUCUCUGGGCCUUUCCUGACGCUGAGGAGCGAAAGCGUGGGGAGCGAACAGGCUUAGAUACCCUGGUAGUCCACGCUGUAAACGGUGGGUACUAGGUGUGGGGUCCAUUCCACGGGUUCCGUGCCGUAGCUAACGCUUUAAGUACCCCGCCUGGGGAGUACGGCCGCAAGGCUAAAACUCAAAGGAAUUGACGGGGCCCCGCACAAGCGGCGGAGCAUGCGGAUUAAUUCGAUGCAACGCGUAGAACCUUACCUGGGUUUGACAUGGAUCGGGAGCGCUCAGAGAUGGGUGUGCCUCUUUUGGGGUCGGUUCACAGGUGGUGCAUGGCUGUCGUCAGCUCGUGUCGUGAGAUGUUGGGUUAAGUCCCGCAACGAGCGCAACCCUUGUUCACUGUUGCCAGCACGUUAUGGUGGGGACUCAGUGGAGACCGCCGGGGUCAACUCGGAGGAAGGUGGGGAUGACGUCAAGUCAUCAUGCCCCUUAUGUCCAGGGCUUCACGCAUGCUACAAUGGCUGGUACAGAGAGUGGCGAGCCUGUGAGGGUGAGCGAAUCUCGGAAAGCCGGUCUCAGUUCGGAUUGGGGUCUGCAACUCGACCUCAUGAAGUCGGAGUCGCUAGUAAUCGCAGAUCAGCAACGCUGCGGUGAAUACGUUCCCGGGGCUUGUACACACCGCCCGUCAAGUCAUGAAAGUUGGUAACACCCGAAGCCGGUGGCCUAACCGUUGUGGGGGAGCCGUCGAAGGUGGGACUGGUGAUUAGGACU
rnacentral:rRNA from 2 species